rnacentral:rRNA from 1 species
UACGUAGGGUGCGAGCGUUGUCCGGAAUUACUGGGCGUAAAGAGCUCGUAGGUGGUUUGUCGCGUUGUUCGUGAAAUUCCCUGGCUUAACUGGGGGCGUGCGGGCGAUACGGGCAGACUGGAGUACUGCAGGGGAGACUGGAAUUCCUGGUGUAGCGGUGAGAUGCGCAGAUAUCAGGAGGAACACCGGUGGCGAAGGCGGUUCUCUGGGCAUGUCCUGACGCUGAGGAGCGAAAGUGUGGGGAGCGAACAGG